AGCUAUUUACAGUUCAGCCCCAAAGACGCACUGCCCUUCUGAGGGCUUCACAACUGCGGGGGUGAACUCCAUGAAACCCCAGACAUGUGCUAUCCAAGCAAUGGUGGUGAAAUACCAGGACGUUGCAGACAUUUUUGACAAGGGGAGGGCAGACAUACUCCCUCCUCCUGGCCCGCAUCAUCGCUACAGCUGCCUUGUAGUCCUCUAGCCGGGGCCAAGAUUCUAUUUGGCCAUAUUGACUUCCUCUAAGAGCCUGAGCUGGAAUGAGAGGAAAGUAUGUUAGAAAGAACCUGAAAAAGGGAUUCAUCCACCCAUCCACAUCCCCAGCAGGAGCCCUGAUUUUCUUUGUGGCUAAGAAGGAUGGCUCCUUGUGCCCUUGCAUGGACAUUCAGGCUCUGAACAUGGUCAUCAUUUGAAACAGGGAGUGACUCAGCAAAAAGUCCUAACGUUGACAACUGACAGCCCCAUAGAGGUGUAUGUGACUGGGAGGAGCUACCAGGCAUGUGUAGGUACACAUGACUGGGCAGGAUUAGGGGCAGAGCCAGCAGAAAGAUGGAAGUUGAUUGGCUGAGCCUGGGAGACCAACCAGAAUAUAAAGGCGACAGCCGACAGGCUGAAACGGAAGUGGGGUUGGAACUUUGAAGGAGAGCAGAAGGUGCAAGACACCUACGAAGAAGCUAGCUGAGAGGAAGCAGCAACAACAACAAUAGAACCCUACAAAGAAGAAGCUACCUGAGGAGAAACAGCUGAACCCUGGUGUAAAGUGAGCUGUUUAUUCCAAUGCUUUGUGUGCCACCUGACCAACAUUUUGCCUUUGCCCCCAAGUCUGUCAAUAUAUGGAUUUACCUAA